CAUUGCCUUAUCUUCUUCAUCCUCGCUUGGAAGAAUCAGAUCGGAGAUGGCAAGCUCCUCCUCUAUCCGCCCCAGUCUCCACACCCCUGCUCAUCCCUAUCCUGAAGCUCUCAUCCAGCGAAUCCUCCCCAUCUCUCUCACCUGCUGUUCUACUCGCCGGCGUCGAUCUACUCCGACCUAUCGCCGGCGAUUCUGCUUGCCGCUCCUGGAGCGGCCCACCAUUCCGCAAAAAAAUGUCGGAUGAAGGCAGUUGUGCGGCGGACACGGGUGAUGAGAAACUUCUAACUGAUAGCGAGGAUUCAGCUCAGAGUGGUGUCCGCCCAUUGCCGCAAGCACCAACUUCCUGUAUGUCUAUCAAGCAUGUUGUCGAGGUCAUUCAGACUUUCAACGAGUACAAGCGAUUUCUUGUUAAGAGCAUUGGGUUUGGUGGAAUGCUUGAUCUCCAAAUGCUGCAGAAAUUAAAUUUUAAAUUCAGCGCCUGGACAAUGAGCAAAGUAAGCACCACCUGCGGGCCAUCGUCCUGGCUGAGAACAAAAUGCUGCCACUAGUCAACUAUACAUCGACCUCCCACACGAUGCUGCCACAACUGUUUUCGGCCGGAGGAGUAAUGAUCUUCCCGGUCGCAAGUAUGUAUCUCGUCUUGGAUUCCAGACAGACCCCUGGUGCAGGGGAGUUGUCCCUGGUGCAGGGGAGUUGUCCCGUACCCAUCACAAGCUGGUGUUGCUCAACUAAUUGAACAUCACUUCAUGACCGCUGUAGAUAGCGAGCUAGCGGGGAACUUUAUUGUUCACGAGGAGCCAAGAUUUAUUAGUGUCACGGGUUUUGUCAUACGCGGUCAGCUCGUUGGCAACAACAUAAUUGGUCAUGAACUGAUGUCCAUUCUUUCCGUCGGUUUGCUCAACUUGAUUAUCAAGCCGAGUCCGAGAACCCGUACUUAAGCUGGAGGCACCCAAUUGAACCUGAAUUCUCCGGAAGCUUCUUAGUUCACUACCCGUGACAUCUUCCACCAUUCUUCCAGAUGUAUUAUUUGAAUUCAGUUUUCACUUUAUUCCAUUUUUUGUUUACCAUGCGCCUCGAUGUGCAAGCAGACUCUUGUGUUGUCUGAUUCCGACUUCUUGCACACGGUGUCGAUCCAGAAGUAGCUCUCUGCUGAUUCUCUGAAGUAUGAUCUAACAUCGUCCCAAAUGUUCAUCACUGCAGUCCUUAAUCAAUGUCCUUGAUCCUCUGUAUCACAAAAAUGCAUCGGCUCUUACGCAUAAGGAUCGCAAUCAAGCAACUGCUUGGAAGCUCCACAGUGCAUUAUUCGCAUGCCUCCAUGAAUUCUAUGGCGGAUGGCCAUCGGUCAAGGAAAACUGGCGGAUGAAGCAUGGACCUACGACAGAUGCCAUAUUUUCCUCCGCUGAGUCAGGUGCAUGCGCCAUACACAUUGCUCGACAGUUUGAUGGGGAGAAGCUUAAUUAAGUUAACACUUACCAA